rnacentral:rRNA from 1 species
UACGUAGGGACCGAGCGUUGUCCGGAAUCAUUGGGCGUAAAGAGCGUGUAGGCGGCUAUUUAAGUCCUGCGUGAAAUCCUGCGGCUCAACCGCAGACGGUCGUGGGAAACUGGAUGGCUAGAGUGCGGGAGAGGAGAGUGGAAUUCCCGGUGUAGCGGUGAAAUGCGCGAUAUCGGGAAGAACACCCGUGGCGAAGGCGGCUACUCUG